ensembl:lncRNA
GUUUGCUCUUUUUCUUUCUUCUUUUUGUUUUUUAAUUUAUUUCUCUUGAAUCCAAUGAGAGGUGACAGUGUGGCUCUGCCAGCACUCAAUCUCACUUUGCCAAGAGUUGGAGCCGAUUUCACAUCUCUUAUCCUUGCAAGCACCAUUGGCUUCUUUCCUAAGUACCUCAAAGCCCCCUAAUAUGCUUUUACUUGAUUGUUUUUGGAAUGUUUUCCAGUAUCUGCUUCUUCAGCAGAGAGCACCAAGGUGGAAGCACAGCUGCCCAUGCAGGGGAAAGCAGCAGCUAAAAGGCAGUGUCACCCUGCGCUCGGAGGUUGUUCCUACAGCUGUGGUUUGGGAAUAAGUCUUCUCUUAAGUGGGUCUCCCAGUCACAUGGCUCCGCAAGCACGGAGAUUCAAGGAGAAGCAUUGGGAACAUUGCAGCUGAGGGGCCCUGUGCUGGACAGAAUCCUUCCACCUGAGCAGUCCUUGCAGGAGACAGUCUGACCCGGGAGUUGGCAAGUGGGCUCAGCGGCUCCGAGUGUUGGGAGAGGAUCAAAAAGCUGCCCCGGCUGUAAAUCUCUCACCUGCCAUCUUCCUUACUGGAGCUUGUGGCCAUUCCUCCGAGGUCGGCCCCGGGUCAGGAUUUCUCCUGUCUCUUUAGCCCCCAAACCUGGAGAUUUUUGUCUUAUCUUUGACGCCAUCUUGACACCGAAAACAAAUUAUGACCCAAUUACCCCUCCCGAGAGGGGCUGGGGCUACCUUAAAUGGCCACAACUGUCAGGCGCUUCCUUAAGAGCAGGUCAUUACUGGGGGGACGGGGCAGUGAUGGGGGGGGGGGGACGACACCCUCCCCUUGGUAUAGGAUCCCCUCCUGCAUGGAGACAUCCCAUCCUGUGCCAGCUGAGCUGCAUCUGACCUGCAGGCCAGGGCUGACUGCUGGUGGGUGCAGGCUGACGUGCGCAGGCCUCACCAACCCCAUCACACUGCAUCUGCCCUGGCCCUGGCCGUGACCUUCGGGGGAAGCUUGAGCUGAGCUGCCACCGGGACUGGGGUUGGCUCUGCUGCAGUGCAAGGCACCAAAGCCCUGAGUUUUAAAAAGUCCUUUUGCUUUUUCUCUAUCAGUGCUCUUAGAGGACAGCUCCGCUGCCCCGGGUGCCCGUGUGGCUCUCGCUGGAGGCUGCAGCAGCGCUGAGCUGAGUGCCGGCCUGCUGACAGCACCCACACGUAUCCCAUGCAUCUCCCCAUGCUGUGCCGCUGCAUCGGUUCUGCUCCCCUUCCCACACUGUGCACAGCACCCCCUGACCUCAUCGUUUUGCUCCAGGUCCCGUUUUGCUCCGGGCUGGGGUUGGGGCUGGGCUUGGGUGUUUCUUUCCCUUUUUUUUUUUUUUUUUUUUUUUGGCAGAUUGGUAUUUUAUUUGGCUCCAUACUGUCUACUGAGCUGUCCAGAGUAACCCUUCCCUCGCUGCUUCUGAGAUAAGAGAGGGCUCCCUGGAGAUCAGAUAAACAGGCCCAUAAAUACCUACAACAACAAGGAGCGGGGUCUCGGCUUGGCAGAAGUAUGCGAAAGGACGAGAGAGGGCUCUUCCAAACCCCAGAGCUGCAGGGAUGGGGUGGGAAGGACCCAACAGCGCCGCUGCCCAACUGCCAUCUCCGUGUCUGCCAGGGUCGCCUCCACCAUUCCUGGUGGUCGCAUCCCAGUGGAGGCACUGCUGCACGUAGGGUGCUGCCCCGGGGCCGUUUGCU